UACGGAGGGCGCAAGCGUUGUUCGGAAUCAUUGGGCUUAAAGCGCGCGUAGGCGGCCUUGUAAGUGUCUUGUGAAAUCCCACGGCUCACCCGUGGAACUGCAGGGCAAACUGCAAGACUUGAGGUCGGUAGAGGCGCCUGGAACUCUAGGUGGAGCGGUGAAAUGCGUAGAUAUCUAGGGGAACGCCGGAGGCGAAAGCGGGGCGCUGGGCCGAUUCUGACGCUGAUGCGCGAAAGCGUGGGGAGCAAACAGG
rnacentral:rRNA from 1 species